rnacentral:rRNA from 1 species
GUGGGGAAUCUUGCGCAAUGGCCGAAAGGCUGACGCAGCGACGCCGCGUGGGGGAGGAAGGCCUUCGGGUUGUAAACCCCUGUUGCCCGGGACGAAUGUGCACUUUAGAGUGCAUUGACGGUACCGGGUGAGGAAGCACCGGCUAACUCCGUGCCAGCAGCCGCGGUAAUACGGAGGGUGCAAGCGUUGUCCGGAAUCACUGGGCGUAAAGGGCGCGUAGGCGGCUCAUAAAGGCUGUGGUGAAAGUUCGGGGCUCAACCUCGAAUCGGCCGUGGCGACUUGUGGGCUGGAGCACUGUAGAGGCAGGUGGAAUUCCGGGUGUAGCGGUGGAAUGCGUAGAGAUCCGGAAGAACACCAGUGGCGAAGGCGGCCUGCUGGGCAGUGGCUGACGCUGAGGCGCGACAGCGUGGGGAGCAAACAGGAUUAGAUACCCUGGUAGUCC